GCGGAGGGUGAGUAACGCGUGGGCAACUUACCUUGGACUGGGGGAUAACACAGGGAAACGUGUGCUAAUACCGCAUAACAUGGUGACAUCCAAAGGAGCGGUUUGAGAUGGGCCCGCGUCCGAUUAGCUAGUUGGCGGUGUAACGGACCACCAAGGCGACGAUCGGUAGCCGAACUGAGAGGUUGAUCGGCCACAUUGGGACUGAGACACGGCCCAGACUCCUACGGGAGGCAGCAGUGGGGAAUAUUGCACAAUGGGGGAAACCCUGAUGCAGCAACGCCGCGUGAAGGAUGAAGGUUUUCGGAUUGUAAACUUCUUUGAUUGGGGACGAAAGACGGUACCCAAAAAACAAGCCACGGCUAACUACGUGCCAGCAGCCGCGGUAAUACGUAGGUGGCAAGCGUUGUCCGGAGUUACUGGGUUUAAAGGGCGUGUAGGCGGGGAUAUAAGUCAGAUGUGAAAUUCCAUGGCUCAACUG
rnacentral:rRNA from 1 species